CUACGGGCGGCUGCAGUGGGGAAUAUUGGUCAAUGGGCGAAAGCCUGAACCAGCCAUGCCGCGUGGAUGAAGAAGGCCCUAGGGUUGUAAAGUCCUUUCACCGCUGAAGAUAAUGACGGUAAGCGGAGAAGAAGCCCCGGCUAAUUUCGUGCCAGCAGCCGCGGUAAUACGAAAGGGGCUAGCGUUGUUCGGAAUUACUGGGCGUAAAGCGCACGUAGGCGGCUUUUCAAGUCAGGGGUGAAAUCCCGGAGCUCAACUCCGGAACUGCCUUUGAAACUGGAUCGCUUGAGGCUGUGAGAGGAGAGUGGAAUUCCGAGUGUAGAGGUGAAAUUCGUAGAUAUUCGGAAGAACACCAGUGGCGAAGGCGACUCUCUGGUGCAGUUCUGACGCUGAGGUGCGAAAGCGUGGGGAGCAAACAGGAUUAGAUACCCGGGUAGUC
rnacentral:rRNA from 1 species